CUCGUUUCAAAGGAAUGAGACGAAUACGGGUUCCUUCGUCGUCGUCGUCUUCAUCUACAAACUCAAGACCGAUAAUACCACUCCUGAUUUGUGUUGUAGUGAUAUUUACACUUGUGGUUCUGGAAAUUGAGACUUCAAAUUUCUCAGAUUACGAAAAGUAUUAUAUAAACCGAGUUGAGGUCAAGAUUCUGUCUGAUUUCCAAACUAAUGUUCAGCAAUGUAUUGGCCAGGCUAAUAGAGGACUUGGACUUACUGCACAUAUUAUUGACCACUGUAAAUUGGUCUUGAAAUAUCCUAAAGGCACAAACAGCAGUUGGCUGAUGAGGUGCUCAUAAUCAAAAGUGUGACCCAUAAAGACUUCAACGACAUGAUAAAGAAACUGUUAUUAACAGUAUCCCAAACUAUAACACUGAGCCUGAAUCAAAGAUAAAACGUUCUUCAAACAAAUAGCCUCAUCCUUGGUUUAAAGAAGGUCCAGUUGAAGAAGGCGGAAUGUUCUUCCUUAGUUUAAUUGAGCAUACCCUGCGUUUACCUCCUAAUCUCCUCAGCCUUCCUCUUCCUGAAGCUAUACGGGGAGAGCUAGAGAAACUAUUUGUGGACAAGGGAAAACCAUUUUCUUUCUCGAGUGUCUCUUCUGAUUUUCUGUAUUGUGUUUGUGGUGCUUGCUUGAUUUCAAAGAGCAGUAUGUAUUGAAUUAUAUCUAUUUUUGUGAAGGUUAUUGCACAGUUGGGUUUAUGCAUCUCCGUCUAUGACAUUAAAUCCAUUAAGGGCGGCUUCAUAUUUGCAGGAGAUGGUGCUUCAACCUAUACGGUUGAUUUUAGGCUAAUCAUGUUCCGUCCUUUUGAGGGUGAGAUUCUUUCUGGAAAGGUUGACGCAUCAGAUGCUAAUGGUUUACGAUUUUCUAAAUCCACAAUGGUGGCAGUGUCUGUAGGGUUUUCUAAAGACAUAUCCGUAGCCGUCCAUCUUUUGCCUAACCCAUCCAAGUUGUAAGUUCUUUAAAAGAUUCGUUUCCCAGUUCACAAAAUUUCAUAUCCUCCCAUCCCGCUUGAACAAGAAAAAGAUUCAAUGGCAUUUGCCCCAAUGGUGAUUACUGCAUCAAUCGGUUUUGAUGGUCUGGGUCCAAUUUCAUGGUGGGUGUAGUCGACAGCAAAAGUAGAGCCUUGGAAGAACUUAACAGCACAGAAGGUAAAGAUAAACUGAUUGGUAUUUUGUUUCAGCCAUUCCCAGGUUAUCUGAACAUGUAGCAGCAAUGACUAGUAGAUAUAUAAUGAUUAUCCCCUCCUAGUUAGGGACAGAACAAGAGAGAUUAAAUUUUGUUCAUUAAUUCCUUCAUUACCAGAGAGUAAAUGAAAUCGAGUUAUACUUGAAUAAAUUUGACUUGAGGCUUCUUUUUUC